rnacentral:lncRNA from 1 species
AUGUGCAGGUCUUGUCAGCCAUGGGCUUUGCUGCCAGUAAUCUGCAUGUUCCCCCAACAUCAGCACCUUCAGCUCUCCUCACUGGAUGGUCUGGUCUCUGCAGAGAGGCUGCCUGGCCUCAUGGUGGGAGGUGGAGCUUGUGGUGAACUGCCUGCCACAUGCCAUAGUUGGACCAAGGAAGCAGCCGAGGAGCCCCACCGCUCGCUGUUCUCAAAUGCAGCCCAGAUGUUUCCAUGCAGGGAGCAGGGAGAACGGGGCAAUGGAGGAGCAGCAGUGCACCUGGAGGACUGACUCUGAAGGGCAGUAGUGACGCUGUGCAGGGCAGAGAUGGAGUUUCACUAUGUUGGCCAGGCUGGUCUUGAACUCCUGACCCCAGAUGAUCCACCCGCCUUGGCCUCCCAGAGUGCUGGGAUUAUAGGUGUGAGCCACCAUGCCCAGCCGAGAGUAGAUUUUAAAUGUUCUCAUCACAAAAAG